GAUGAAGAACGCAGCGAAAUGCGAUAAGUAGUGUGAAUUGCAGAAUUCAGUGAAUCAUCGAAUCUUUGAACGCACAUUGCGCCCCUUGGUAUUCCAUGGGGCAUGCCUGUUCGAGCGUCAUUUGUACCUUCAAGCUCUGCUUGGUGUUGGGUGUUUGUCUCGCCUUGCGCGUAGACUCGCCUUAAAACAAUUGGCAGCCGGCGUAUUGAUUUCGGAGCGCAGUACAUCUCGCGCUUUGCACUCAUAACGACGACGUCCAAAAGUACUUUUUACACUCUUGACCUCGGAUCAGGUAGGGAUACCCGCUGAACUUAAGCAUAUCAAUAGGCGGAGGA
rnacentral:misc_RNA from 1 species